rnacentral:rRNA from 1 species
CGUAUACUAAAGUUGUUGCAGUUAAAAAGCUCGUAGUUGAAUUUCUGGUCUCGGACAUCGGUCUGCCUCGAACGAGGUACGUACCAGUUGUCUGAAUCCAUCCUCGGGGAAAACAUGUCUGGCAUUCAGUUGUUGGGCAUGGGAUCCUCGUCAUUUACUGUGAGCAAAAUAGAGUGUUCAAAGCAGGCUUAUGCCGUUGAAUACAUUAGCAUGGAAUAAUAAGAUAGGACCUUGGUCUAUUUUGUUGGUUUGUACUCCAAGGUAAUGAUUAAUAGGGAUAGUUGGGGGUAUUCGUAUUCAAUUGUCAGAGGUGAAAUUCUUGGAUUUAUGGAAGACGAACUACUGCGAAAGCAUUUACCAAGGAUGUUUUCAUUAAUCAAGAACGAAAGUUAGGGGAUCGAAGAUGAUUAGAUACCAUCGUAGUCUUAACCAUAAACUAUGCCGACUAGGGAUUGGUGGACGUUUGUAACGACUCCAUCAGCACCUUAUGAGAAAUCAAAGUCUUUGGGUUCCGGGGGGAGUAUGGUCGCAAGGCUGAAACUUAAA